GCUGGCAAUAUUCAACGAUAAUUUUCGGUAAAAUGUCAGUUGUGUAGGUAUUGCGGUUUACAGCAGUUCGUGCUUUUAUCUCGUAGAUAUUCCGCAAUUACAAUAAUAUUUGAUUACCGCACUUUCACUAAACUAUCUUAUUACGACUGUGUUACGUGCGGGUUUUGUUAAAACAUCAUUCUUUGAAUGAUAUCGAAUACGAAACGUCAAAACGGGACAGCCAGUGUGUUUUUCUACAUAAACUUGUUUUUUAGUGCAAAUUCCAUCUCGUGUUUGUUAAAACUUGUUACAAAUACAACUGGUCGAUGAUAUAAAAGUUCACGAUCCCGAGAUCCAUUCCCUCCUGAAGAACGAACCUAUAUCCAUAUCCAAGAUCCUUAUGGCCAGUUAUAGAUAUAAGCUCCUAUCUAUAAUAAUAUUUUUUGUAGCAUGUGUACUUACUUACAGCAUGUAUUUAUAUGCGUUUGAGAGGUUAAAUAGCAGGAAUAAUUUAAUUUUCGGCAGCGUCUUCACUUACUAAUAUAUUCAUUAGAAUGUAAAAGACAAUACAAUAAAAAAAGUCAUUCCCUUCCUUGAUUUGAAUUUAGAAGACGGUAAACAAUGUGAAGUCAGCCAAGUUGAAAAUUAACAAGCAAUUGAAGCGAAUUGAAUCUUUCAAGAUCCAAUGAAGGAGGCGUUUUGAUUUCGCGCCUCCAGGCUUAUGACGUCACAGUACUACAUUUAAUUAAAUAGUAAAAAUACGAAUAAAAAUACUAUAAAUAUUUAGAUGUUUCUUGUUGGCAGUUGUAUCAUAAAACGAUUUAUUUGUGUCGUUAACCUUUUUUGUAUUUUAUUCUUUUUGUGCUUUUUUAUAAAGUUUCUUUUUUAAUGACGACAGAUUAUUUUUGAACGAUCAGCCCGUCAAUACAAAGUAUUCUGUAUUCGGAAUGGGGAUAAAAUUUGCUAUUGUGAGCACUUUUAUAGAAAUCGGAUUUGCGAUUUUUGUUAUCGUCAGCUUUUCAGAAAUAAGGGAUAAUUUUUAUUUGUGAGAAUCGUUUCUGGUAACAUUUGUAAUGCCUGAUCAUGAAUGUAAAAAUGUUUGCUCUGA